ACUCCUACGGGAGGCAGCAGUGGGGAAUAUUGCACAAUGGGCGCAAGCCUGAUGCAGCCAUGCCGCGUGUAUGAAGAAGGCCUUCGGGUUGUAAAGUACUUUCAGCAGUGAGGAAGGUAUCGUAGUUAAUAGCUGCGGUAUUUGACGUUAGCUGCAGAAGAAGCACCGGUUAACUCCGUGCCAGCAGCCGCGGUAAUACGGAGGGUGCGAGCGUUAAUCGGAAUUACUGGGCGUAAAGCGCAUGCAGGUGGUUUGUUAAGUCAGAUGUGAAAGCCCGGGGCUCAACCUCGGAAUUGCAUUUGAAACUGGCAGACUAGAGUACUGUAGAGGGGGGUAGAAUUUCAGGUGUAGCGGUGAAAUGCGUAGAGAUCUGAAGGAAUACCGGUGGCGAAGGCGGCCCCCUGGACAGAUACUGACACUCAGAUGCGAAAGCGUGGGGAGCAAACAGGAUUAGAUACCCUGGUAGCACAGGG
rnacentral:rRNA from 1 species